UACGAAGGGAGCUAGCGUUGUUCGGAAUCACUGGGCGUAAAGCGCACGUAGGCGGAUUUGUCAGUCAGGGGUGAAAUCCCGGGGCUCAACCUCGGAACUGCCUUUGAUACAGCAAGUCUUGAGUUCGAGAGAGGUGGGUGGAAUUCCUAGUGUAGAGGUGAAAUGCGCAGAUAUCAGGAAGAACACCCGUGGCGAAGGCGGCUCUCUGGGACGGUACUGACGCUGAGACGCGAAAGCGUGGGGAGCGAACAGG
rnacentral:rRNA from 1 species